CUGCUCCUCUGAUGCUGCUUGGCCUGCUGUGUUCAUCCAGCUCUACACCUUGUUAUCUCAGAUUCUCCAGUUCCUACUAUUUCUUUAUUGAUACCAGUGGAAACCACAAAGUUAUACAAUUUAUUUAUUCUAUAAUUAUCUGCCCUCUAUAUAGAAGUAGUCCAUCUCCCUAGAGUAUCACCACUGUUCAUGCAGUUCUUACCGAUUUAUUUCACAUUGAAUUGACUGGUCCUGUCGUCGGGUGUGAGUGCUCACCAUUAGAAGUGUUUGAUUUGAAUUUGGAGAUGUUUGUGAUGUUCUGUCUGAUUUUGUGGUUGGAAUGGGCUUCAGCUCCGUUUGAAAUGGGAUCCUUUUUAUUCAAUUAAAUAAAUUUCAAAGCUGUUCGCCUCACACAGCCGAUCUUUGCUGCUGCUUUUGUGUCUUUUUGAUUUUCCUUUUUAUUACCUGACGUGGGCUCAUCCAUCGCUGAACCACCGUAAAGAGCAUCUUGUUACCUUGCAUUUGUCCUGCAUCCCAACUCUUGUGCUGUGUUUAAACACAAACCUUCUUGCUCGGGUGAGAAAAGUGUACAACAGGACUUAUAGUUAGUUUGUAAUUCAAGACAAUAUUUAUUGAAGAGUUUGUUCUAGAUCUUUUGGGUUGACCUACUGCCUAAUCCCGAUGAUGUUUUCCAUCACAGCUUCUGUACCAGCCAACAGAGCUGCUGUGCCCAGUGACUGGGCACUGGGUACCUGUGGAACAAUGCUUGCCCAAGCUAGAGAUCAGCAAAUAUUCCAGGCUUUAUGAUGGCGAAGAACCAGCUGCUGAUCCUGGCUUGUCAACGGAAGGCCUUUGGUUUCUUCAGAAUUUCCGCGAGGCUCUGGGCCCCUCUGCCUCCACCUCGGUUCAGACUGAGGAAGCCAUGUUGGUAGUAUCGCAGGAAGACCUCGUCUCGACCCGCUCCUCCUCAGCUGCUGCCCACUGGGGGCGCUGUUCCUGCCUCAUCCAAUUGUUAAGCUGCUGCUGGUGUUGUACUAAUUACCACCAAGGCAAGGCAGAGAGCUGACUGCUCACACUGAGGGACUGCAAUGUGGCUGUUGCACUUGGAAAUUUAGGUGCUUUUCAACCGAGGCGCUUGGGGUCAGAGGUAGGGAGAGAGAGACACGGGAGAAAGCCGGGAAUAUCUUUUUUGCAGGUCUGGGAAUGAAAGGAGAGAGAGAAAGGGGGACCAGAAAGGGAUGAAGAUACCUUCCAACAGACACUUUAAACUAACUGUGUGCACCUAAUAAGAUGAACACAGAAAGCACAACAUUCGCACAAGUCUAAUGUUUACUCUGCUCCUCACAGUCCCUUCAUCUCUGUUUUUCUUUUCCUCCUUCAGUGCAAUCUCUCUGCAAAGCUCAUGGGAUGUUCUAGUCCAGAGUUAUAACCAUUUCGGAGUUCACAGAUGAUGAGCUUGUGCCAGUAAUGAAGCCUCUGUGGGCACAGUGUUUCCUUUCUGUGAUAGUGUGCAAAAAGAUGCAAUCAAAUGAGGGUAAGGCAGUUACACAGGAGACCUCUCGGGUGAUGAAACCCCACUGCUCUCAGGUUAUUCCAAAGAACUGUCUUGAUAUGAAAUCACUUGGUAGUUUUGUGCAUGUCUGUCAUUGUAAUGGUAAGUGUAGUUUUGUCAUCAAAUCUUCCAGUGACCAGGGUAACAACAGCCCCAGUUUGCCAUCUUGUGACGUUUAUGAAAAAUAUCUAAUUACAACUCUAGCUAGGCAGUAUCGGCCAAUAUUGUGUUGCUGAAGGAAAUUAGCUGGCAAUCUCAAACUGAAUGUGACAGCACCUGAAUGGUAUUUUGUGUUAAGCAUGAGAUUUUGGCUGGGGAACUUCUGAUUUCAGCUCAUGGAAUCCUAUCUAAUGGGAGUGAGUGGAAAAUGAUUUGGUUUUGGGAAUUCAAUGCAGUGUGUCAAAAUGGUACUUUGGGUUUCUGUACUGUGGGAUUGAAAGGAGAAUGGUUGUGAACCCUUAGAAUUCAGGGCACGGGUCUUAAUCUAGGGUUGGAUCCCUGUAACAUUGUUGAAAUGCUCACCUUUUUUGUACAAAUCCCUGGCAAAAUAUUUGUCAGAAUCUUCUAAGAAGUGAUAAUCACACUCUGAUUACUGAUCCACUCCUUCUUACUCACUCUGCUCUAGUCCUGUGCAGUUCUGGCCUAAACAUGUGAUUUGCACUGAAAUGUGGAGUUUACCUGAUCUGGGUGCAGUGCAGGGUCAGUGCUAAUGGACAGGUGAUACCACCUUUACCCAGCAGUAACUACUGCUGUAGGGUUUAAAGAUUUCUUGGUUGGUGGGUGAAGGGAUUAGGUGCCAAGUGAGUGAAUAAGGAGUUACAGUUCCUGUUUGGUGUGCCAGGUGCUGGAUGGGGAACAGAUGGGUGGCAGAUGAGUCUACCAGGGAUGAGUGAGGGGGUCAGUCUGCCAUAUGGAUGGGUGAGGCUAUAUGCCAGAGUGCCAGGUGGAUGAGGGCAACAGGUAACUGGGUGUGUGUAGGGUACCAUUUGGGUGAAUGAGGGGGUCAGGUACCAGACACAUGGGUAAGAGAAGAUAGAGUGUUAAAUGAAUGACUGUAGGAGCAAGGUAGCAGAGGCUGGGCUGAGGUUUGGAGUGGGGUUGGGGGGGAGACAUUGUCAGGCAUCAUGGUGGGGGCAGAUUGAUUUUUUUAAGGGGGAAGAGGGCUUUGGAUCCAGUGUGGAUGCAUAGGAGCCAGUUUUAUAGUUAGCCAGGAGUUGGGGCAGCAUGUUAACCCUUUACUUUUUCUGGAUGACUAUUUAAGUAAGUUGAACCCUCCAAAAUUCUGCUUCUAAUUAAAGUUGCAGCCAUUUUUUUUUUGGGAAGGUUUGAGGCACUAAUUAUCCAUCGGAAGUUUAAGCUUCUCGGAUAAUUUCCGCAUAGCCAGUGCACCGAGACUUCUGAGAGAUUCCAGCGGAAAUCCUUCAGGGUAUACCUGGUCUCUGACUAUCAGGAGACUGAAGGACUUAGACUAAUGUGUGUUCUUAAAAAUAUGACAAUAAUUGAAGUAAGUAAUCAGUGAUCAUAAUACACUCUAUCACUGCCUUUGAUAUAAGUUACCUUCUAUGCAAGAUGUCACUAUGAAUACAUACACAGCUUCUCACCUACACUACCAGAAGACCAAAGAUGUGCCUGAUGGAAAUCUGUUAUAAAUUGAACUAUAUUGUGAUCACUAGAUGUCACAAUUGCACACUUUACACCUAGUGGCCGGAAACUAAUAAUGACAGCUGAAUGUUUAUUUAUUUGAAUAAGUUCCAAACAGAAAUGCCUGUGAUUUAAAACUGACCAUGUCAGAUAGGCCAGACCAACUGCCUUCCCAAACGAUAUUCGUGAACCAGAUUUUAUAUUUUAAUGACAAUCCAGUGGUUUCAUGGUCACUGUUAAUUAGAUUUAUUCCAGAUUAUCAAAUUGUUUAAAUUCAAAUUUUGCAGCAGGUCCACUAGGGUUGGAACUCUUUUUUUUUUACAGAGCAUUAGUCACAGUCUCUGGGUUACCAGUUCAAUACAUACCAUCGUUAAACUAAUUCUGUCCUCAAUAAGAACCUUGACACUGAAAAAGGAAAGCAGAAAGAGGGAUGUCCUGUGGGAAACAGGUGUAGUUUUCUUUCUUUUAAUGUAAAAAACCUGAACUCACGAACAGAAUUUGAUGGUCUUUUUUUCCAGAAAGCCUGCCUGAGCUAUUUCUAAUAUUUCCUGCCAGCCCUUUCACACUUUUUGUAACAAUCAAGAUUGAACCUGCCUCUAGGGGGUUGUACUGUUUUGAAUAGUGGGCGACACAUCAGCGAAAAGGUGGAAUAUUGGGUUGCACCCAUGCAGUCGGUGUAAUGCUUGUCUUUUAACUUUUGACUAUUUUUGGCUUCACAAAAUUCUCCAUCUGGAAAAUUUACAAUGGUGAGGUAAUCCAUUAUUGUUUAUUCUGUAACCAAUGAGCAUCAUUACUGACUCUGGUUGAGUGGGUGUAUCUGUAAGCAGUGCCAAACUCCCCCAUCAGCCAGUCAACAGGAUUGCUUUCUGUAAUAGGGUGGGUUACUAUGGUUACUGGAAAAAAGAAAUGAUGAGUCUUAAAAUUCCUUUCAGCUGUGCGUGGAGCUGGUCACAAUUUCCCCAUGGAGUGGGGGUCCCCUUUAACUCUUUCAUUGCAAAUGCUCCUUUGUACUCCCAGUACAGAAGAUUCAAACCCAUUGGAAAAGGGUCCUGCACUUGAUCCGAAACACACUGGCGGAGGAACUAUUUCAUUUCAAGGUUUCGACCCCCGAUUGCUAACAAAUGGCUUCGGAUAAAAAGCACACCCAAAUAGGAGGUAGAUUUGAUCCAUUUGAAGAUAACAGCUUAGAAUUACUGAUUGGUAUCCAAGGACAUCAUUGUGAUAACAGUCUUCUGUGCACAACUGCUUCCUUCAAACAUUAAAUGAAAGAAUGUUUUUUAAAAACUGCAUUUAUAUAGCACCUUUUCAACGUGGUAUUACAUCCCAAGGGAGUUAACCGGAAUGUAGCCAUUGUCACUGAGCUAAACAAAGCAGGUAUGAAUACUCAUGAUCAAAACCUUGUAGAUUUUGAGGAUUAUUUUAAACGAGACAAGCAGGGAGGUGAAGAGGGUCAAGCAUCAAUAUUCUUUAAAAUAGAACAUAAUUCCAGAAAUUCUGGACUGUAAACCCAAGCUUUAGAGUUAAGUUCCUCUGCUGCACAAAAUGGGAGUCAGCUCACUUGCAGCCAAGCUGUGUAAUUCAAAUUCCACUGAUCCACAUCUCUCUGGUCACCCCUUUGUGGUUUUGAAUAAAAUAUCAGCUUCUCAAAGCUACAACCUCCUUGAGAGGGGUAAAAAAACCCAAAAUAAUAAUGCAAGUAUACUGUGAACAGCUCCAUUCACCAAGCCGCAAGGAUCUUGCUGAUGUAUGGGUUAAAUGAGUUAAUUCUUAACUUGUUGGGAAGCACCAUCUUAAAUGGGUAAGCACAAACCUAACACAGUUGCUCAUUUCAAAUGAAGCUUGAGUUGUAGACUUCAUAAAGUGCCUUUAGUGAUCUCUUUGUAGUGUUUUAUUGUCUAAUGAUUCAGACUUUUGCAAUACAUUCUUUUCUAAAUGUUACUAUUCUAGCCUUGUGUAAAAGGAAUGAAUAAAAUUGAAAGUGCCUAUAUUUUA